GACGGAGGGCGCGAGCGUUGUCCGGAUUUAUUGGGCGUAAAGAGCUCGUAGGCGGUCUGUCACGUCGGCUGUGAAAACCCGAGGCUCAACCUCGGGCCUGCAGUCGAUACGGGCAAACUAGAGUACUGCAGGGGAGACUGGAAUUCCUGGUGUAGCGGUGAAAUGCGCAGAUAUCAGGAGGAACACCGGUGGCGAAGGCGGGUCUCUGGGCAGUAACUGACGCUGAGGAGCGAAAGCGUGGGGAGCGAACAGG
rnacentral:rRNA from 1 species